UACCGUGAAAAAAUUAGAGUGUUCAAAGCGGGCAGAUAUUUUUCCUGCCACCGAAUACAUUAGCAUGGGAUAAUGGAAUAGGACCCUGACCUCCUAUUUUCAGUUGGUUUUGUUUACAGCGAGGUUAUAUCAGGGUAAUGAUUAAUAGGGAUAGUUGGGGGCAUUAAUAUUUAAUUGUCAGAGGUGAAAUUCUUGGAUUUAUGAAAGAUUAACUUCUGCGAAAGCGUUUGCCAAGGAUGUUUUCAUUAAUCAAGAACGAAAGUUAGGGGAUCGAAGACGAUCAGAUACCGUCGUAGUCUUAACCAUAAACGAUGCCGACCAGCGAUUAGGAGACGUUGAAUACAAAACACCGCCGUUAAUCCUUUCGGGGGUUAAUGGUUGGUGAAUGACUCCCCUAGCA
rnacentral:rRNA from 1 species